UGGAAGAGUGAGAUUGUAAGUUUGAGCACCUGCUAAUAAACAAGCACAAAAGUUCAAGCCCCAGUACCUCCAGAAAAAUCACUUCUCUGGGUCUUUGAAGGUCCUAAUUUCUCUCAGCAUAUGUCUGUUUGUCUGGUUUUCUUCAUCCUCUUCAUCUCUUGAUUUGUUUUCCUUCAUUCUGCAAACUCAUGUCUUUCUUGAAGUCUAAAGACUUUUGUUAUUUUCUCCCCUCUACUUUCUCAGGUCUCUCACUUUGGAAUUCCUGAUGAGUGGGUGUUGAAUCUUCUUGAUAUUUUUCCUUGACAUUUUUUUAGCCUGUCUCUUAAGGUUUUUUCUUUUCUUUUUUUUUUUUUAAAUAUUCAGACUCAUUUUUAAUUUCCCCAAAUUUCUUUGAUUUCUCUUUUAAUUCAUUUCCAUUUUAAUUUUAUAGGCCCCGUGUGUUUUGAAAUAAUCUUAAGGGAUAGCAGUUGGAAUUUUUGUUUAAUUUCUACUGCCUAAAUUGUUUUCUGUAGAAUUGUGUUUGUGUGUGUGUGUGUGUGUGUGUGUGUGUGUGUGUAUGUUCAUGUUGAUUGCAUUUUAAGCUGUUAAUUUCUGUAAGGAGCUUAAUUUUUUUUUCAUAUAUAGUAAUGGAUUUGUAGGGGGCUUAAUGGGGAGGCUUCCAUUUGAAGGGUUAAUGCUAUUUCCUGUUAUAAUUUUCCUCUAUAGUUGACUUGUUUUGCAUUUCAAAGAGAUUUCAAAAAUAUAAUCUUCCAUCUACAUAAGGUUAUAGUGAUCUAAAAUAAUUUUUAUUUUAAAGUAUUUCACAUAGACCAAAUAAAAUGGCAAAAGCAAUAUUUCAAGAUCUCAAGCAAGACAGUGGAA